UACGUAGGAGGCAAGCGUUGUCCGGAAUUACUGGGCGUAAAGCGCGUGUAGGUGGUGGGACAAGUCUGCUGUGAAAGCGCCUGGCUUAACCGGGCGAGGUCGGCGGAAACUGUCGCACUCGAGGACGGUAGAGGGGGGUGGAAUUCCCGGUGUAGUGGUGAAAUGCGUAGAGAUCGGGAGGAACACCUGCGGCGAAAGCGGCUCACUGGACCAUAACUGACGCUGAUGCACGAAAGCUGGGGGAGCAAACAGG
rnacentral:rRNA from 1 species